rnacentral:rRNA from 1 species
CACUGGGUCUAAUACCGGAUAUUCACAUUCUGUCUGCAUGGUGGGGUGUGGAAAGGGUUUCUGGCUGGGGAUGGGCUCGCGGCCUAUCAGCUUGUUGGUGGGGUGAUGGCCUACCAAGGCGGUGACGGGUAGCCGGCCUGAGAGGGCGACCGGCCACACUGGGACUGAUACACGGCCCAUACUCCUACGGGAGGCAGCAGUGGGGAAUAUUGCGCAAUGGGCGGAAGCCUGACGCAGCGACGCCGCGUGGGGGAUGACGGCCUUCGGGUUGUAAACCUCUUUCAGCCCCGACGAA